CUGAGGUGUUCCCUGAAGGAACUGAAGUUAUUUAUCAUCAUGUGAGUGAAAUUCAAAGAUAUCCACUGCACACUUGUGAAAUCAGCCUGGGAGAAUGACCACAGGCCUGUGUUCAGGGUGACAGCACGGUGCCAGGUGCAGGACAAACAGAGGAGGAGGCAGACAGAGCCUGGUGAACCCAAAGGCUCCGGAUCGCCUUGAUUCUGCAGCAGGCCUGCAGCUGGAUCAGGCACGAGUGGGAUUCCUUCACAUAACACAACACGCUGUUUUUUAGGUUUGUUUGGUUUUGUGCUGUAAUCCUUCUGUUCUGUCCACUCCUGCUCAAAGCCCAUGAUUCUCCUGCUACCAACUUGGAUGCUUGCUCAGAAGUGUAGAUUUGGGGGCCUCCAUGCGUGCCUGAGAGUGGCUGAGCUCUUCGACAGACCACCAUUAUCUGUAGAGAUAAGGAUAGAAUCAGUAGUGCAGCUGCAAAUCAAGAAGCACAGCAAAAUUAACCAGCAUUUCCAUCACAACAAGUGAACUGUGAAAUAGAAACAUGCGAGAAAUGUUUCCAGAAGUGAGGAAAUGAAGGGCAGAAUCCAUUUUUACCAUAUUCUGCCCACCAGGCCCCGUCACUUAAAUCUCCUGUAUUUACCAUGCAGGUAACGGAGCUGCUAGGACUCCAGGAAGCCUGCGAUUAGACAGCUGUACAGACACAGCUAAUUGAAACUCUCAGUGAUCAGGAUGAAUGCAGAAAAGUAUUCUGGCAGUUUUCACCUUCUCUAAAACGCUUUUAACAUUCAUCAAGAAGUUCCUCGCAUUCUUCUGAUUUUCAGGCUUCCUACUUGAAGCUGCACGUCUGAGAGUUAUUUUGAUGGACAACCCAGUUAAACCACAAAUUAGUCAUUUACAGGCAACUUUCUUCUGUUUCCACAGUUGAGCUGCAGAAUAUUAAAGGCUUGUAGGUGUUACUGCUAGUCAUAUAUUGCAGCAAUAAUGUGUCCUACUGCUAUGAACAUCAUUGCAGAAUUCAUCAGUUCCAUGAAAAAUAGUUCCACGUGCACAAGUGUGUAAGUUCACCGCAGCGCUCGUGCCUGGACUGUGCCAAUGCUGCCGACAGCAAGAGACAUAGAUCACUUUGUGAUGCUGCUGAAUGCCUCCCUACAUGCAUAUGAAAAUGCUUCUUUGAAAUUAAAUUCACAGUUUGGGGCCCUCCCCAACACCCCAUAGGUACAUGUGUUUUUGGAGCCACUUAAUGUGUAUUCUGAUAGGCAUAGCUUUACAUUUAAUGUCUUCAUUUCAAGAUAAAAACCUUCCCUCUUGCCUGUGCUCAGAUUGAGCAAGAGUGGUGCAGGGACAGCUGUGAAAUGACUGGAGGUUUGGGCGUAGCGUAAGGAUUCUUAUUCCUGUUGGAAAGUGAUGCUUCUUACAAAUGAAAAAUAAGUAAGCAAGAAACACAAAACCAAAAUAAUCACAAGCAACUGUACACUCAUUCACUGCUCUGGUUGGUGUCCUCUGCAGAUGUAGCCGCUCGUUAGAUCCAGUCAGAUGGAGACCACGUAAUUAACAGCUUUUCUGACCCUCUCAUGUCACAACCCAGGAACGAUCUCUCCUGCUGAAGGAGGCUUCUGACACAGAAGUCCCUUCCCUAAAGGGCCUGCAAUGGGCACUUAGGCUUUACUAAAUGCAAUAAGCUAACGUACCUCUAUAAAACAUCCCACUUGGUGUUUCAGGUAGCAACACAAAUGAGAGCAGGCACACCAACAUUCAGAUGCAGAGCCAUUUCCUCACUAGCUAGCAAAAUUCUAAUAAAUUCAGUACAAAGGAGGUUAUUAGAGCUGCUUGCUAAACUGCUCUGCAGAGGAAGGUCUGGGCAGAGACCUGCAGCUCUCAUUACAGCCCACACCUGCCUGAAUGCCUCCAGGUGAGCCCUGCUCACCGCUUCCUCCAGCCUUCGAGAUCGGCAGGCGAUGGAUGGUGCUUCUGCUGCUAGCAGUGCCCACAGACUCGUGCAGGACUUCAGGCCCUAUCAGAGAAGCGUUUCAGGGCUCCAGGACGCCCAACGCACUGCUGUACCCAUCUCACCGAGGUAACCAACGCAUUUCAGCAGCACAACGAGAACGGGAUUUUUUUCCUACUGCUCCAUGCCCAGACCUUAUGUGGGAACUUUCCUGGCUAAAUGGUGCUGCCGAUGGGGUGAUGUAACCCAGCGACUCCCAGCCUGGCAUUCUGCGGGUGAGAUUGAUGGCAAUGUCUCGUCGAUAAAUCCAUACAGACCCCAAACCCAUGAUGAACGUGCAGGAGGUAAAGGCAAUGGUUAAUAUCUUCAAAAUAGGCCCCAGAGCCUUCGAGUGCUGGCAAAGAGGGAAGGACGGUGACCCUUGUUAAUCUUUUUAUUGGCUCCAGCAGCUAUUGGCACCUUUUGCUGGCCAGAAAUUUGCAAGUCUUUGGGGAGCAAUGAUUUCACAAGCGGGGGCUCUGAGAGAGAGAAAAGAAAUCCCUCCGCUCCUAAAAUGGGACCAUUCUUCCAGAUGAAAAUUGACAUUUUGGUUUGAACUUCACGACCCCCAGUAAUCACACUAAUGGCCCUGGCUCGCCGGGGGCUGGCUGCGGCCAGGACGGAUGGGCAGCGAUGGAUGGCUGGAAGCGGGCCGGGAGAUGAGGUGGUAGAGAUGCUGACAGCCUGCUCCAGCUGGCCGAGGUGCUGUGGGUCAUUGCUGACCUGCUCUGUGGACUGUCAUCCAAAUCAGGUUUAACCUCAGUUCCUGGCAAACCUUUGGGGAGGCAGCCGCUGGGAGAGCUUGGGGACUGCUCUCAGCCACCCCGCACCAAGCCCCUGCCUCCCCUCCGUGCUCACCUCUUUAAGCAAAUGCAUGUCUCAUGAACUCUUUCCUUGGAGGAAGGACAAAUUGCUUGCUCCCUGCGGUAAUCCCUAAAAACAAGAGGGAAGAAACCCAAUACACCCUAAAGGCUCCCUGAGCAGCCCCAGGCAGGUAGCACUGACUUCCAGGCAGAACAAGAGAAAUUAAUGCUGCCUGGCAUGUAGCACAUCCCUUCCCUGAAAGGCUUGGCAGAUGUUUUGGCUAGGUUAUUUUCAGAC